UCCCUGAUGGUCCAGUGGCUAAGACUCUGUGCUCCCAAUGAAGGAAGACCAGGUUCGAUUCCUGAUCAGGGAA
rnacentral:tRNA from 1 species